AUUAAACGCUGGCGGCAUGCCUUACACAUGCAAGUCGAACGGUAGCGCGGGGCAACCUGGCGACGAGUGGCGAACGGGUGAGUAAAGCAUCGGAACGUGCCCUGGAAUGGGGGAUAACGUAGCGAAAGUUACGCUAAUACCGCAUAUUCUGUGAGCAGGAAAGCAGGGGAUCGCAAGACCUUGCGUUCUGGGAGCGGCCGAUGUCGGAUUAGCUAGUUGGUGGGGUAAAAGCCUACCAAGGCGACGAUCCGUAGCGGGUCUGAGAGGAUGAUCCGCCACACUGGGACUGAGACACGGCCCAGACUCCUACGGGAGGCAGCAGUGGGGGAAUUUUGGACAAUGGGCGGAAGCCUGAUCCAGCCAUGCCGCGUGAGUGAAGAAGGCCUU
rnacentral:rRNA from 1 species